CAAAUAUGGAUGGUAUUAUGUUGCAUGACUUAUAUGCAAGACGAAAGUGAAACAAUUCAAAGGAGUUCUAUGGUGUGAACGUUGUAAAAAUGAGCUAAAGUUUGCAGUCCCAAGCUAUAGAAUACAAGUCCAAGUACAAGAUGAGACGGGUCAACCACAUUCAUAUUGUUUGACAAAGGAGCUGAGAAAAUUAUAUCUAAAACUGCAAAAGAACUUGCAAAGAUGCAAGAAGAGGACACAAUGGAGGAAAUUGUAAGAAAAUCAAGGAAAGACAAGUACAUAGCCAGCAAAAAAAUAGAAAUAGGAGAAACAUCUGUUGAAAGACCUGAAUUAACUGCUCCUAUAACUACUGAAGAUGGAAGAACUGGUCAUAAAAGAAUGCUGCUCCAAAUGCUUCAAAAACGUUAAAAGGGUACUAAGCAAAUUGCAUCAAUGAAGAAAAAAAUCUGAACUCUAAUGUAUAUACUACCUUACUCUAUGAGUC